GUCUCGGUACUGUAGGGGAUAGAGCACUGUGCCCGGAAAGCACAAGUACGGGUUCGAGUCCCGUCCGAGACU
rfam:Haemonchus placei strain MHpl1 genome assembly, scaffold: HPLM_scaffold0002760